UUGGGCUUCUUGUCAGGGAACCCAAGUCUCCUCUCUCUUUAAGCUGCGACCGGCUCCACGCAGGACGUGGAGCGCUGUCGCGGACAUACCCCGACAAGUAGUGACCCCAACGUGAUCAAAGUCCGACGUGACAGAAGUGCGAGUCUACACAACGGAGCUGCAACUGCAGAAGGAGGAAAAAUAGAGCGCGCCAGGAGACUCAAGGAUCCCACCAGGACGGUACGGGACAGUGGACCUAUAUUAGACUCCACUGGUGCGGGAAUAACUCAAUAGAGAGGACAUGGGGAAUACUCUCCAGCCAGAGCAGAAGCAACAUAUUCAGUUUCUGCAAUGUGGAGUGCCAUCCUAAGAUCUCUCGACUCCACAUUUUUUGAAAACUUCUGAAGCAGGAACUCCUCUAGAAGAGAAGCAGGAGUGGUCAACAUCUUCCAUGUUCACAGGGUCAACAAAGGAAACUGCUGUUUUCCAGAUGGAGUACACAACCUAUUCUUAAGCCAUUCUCCCACAUGGAGAUUAAGAAACUACUUCAGUAAAUAAAUGGAACUCAUUUAAAGAAUGAGAACAUGAAGCAGGAUUAACUGGUUAGCAAAAAUAAGUCACCUGUUUUUAAACUUUUUA
rnacentral:lncRNA from 1 species